CUGGCGGCGUGCCUAAUACAUGCAAGUCGAACGCUUUGUCUUUAAUUGAUAUGACGAGCUUGCUCUGAUGUGAUUUUAUCUGACAAAGAGUGGCGAACGGGUGAGUAACACGUGGGUAACCUACCUCUUAGCAGGGGAUAACAUUUGGAAACAAGUGCUAAUACCGUAUAAUACCAACAACCGCAUGGUUGUUGGUUGAAAGAUGGUUCUGCUAUCACUAAGAGAUGGACCCGCGGUGCAUUAGCUAGUUGGUAAGGUAAAGGCUUACCAAGGCGAUGAUGCAUAGCCGAGUUGAGAGACUGAUCGGCCACAAUGGGACUGAGACACGGCCCAUACUCCUACGGGAGGCAGCAGUAGGGAAUCUUCCACAAUGGGCGCAAGCCUGAUGGAGCAACGCCGCGUGUGUGAUGAAGGGUUUCGGCUCGUAAAACACUGUUAUAAGAGAAGAACGGCACUGAGAGUAACUGUUCAGUGUGUGACGGUAUCUUACCAGAAAGGAACGGCUAAAUACGUGCCAGCAGCCGCGGUAAUACGUAUGUUCCAAGCGUUAUCCGGAUUUAUUGGGCGUAAAGCGAGCGCAGACGGUUAUUUAAGUCUGAAGUGAAAGCCCUCAGCUCAACUGAGGAAUGGCUUUGGAAACUGGAUGACUUGAGUGCAGUAGAGGAAAGUGGAACUCCAUGUGUAGCGGUGAAAUGCGUAGAUAUAUGGAAGAACACCAGUGGCGAAGGCGGCUUUCUGGACUGUAACUGACGUUGAGGCUCGAAAGUGUGGGUAGCAAACAGGAUUAGAUACCCUGGUAGUCCACACCGUAAACGAUGAGUGCUAGAUGUUCGAGGGUUUCCCGCCUUGAGUGUCGCAGCUAACGCAUUAAGCACUCCGCCUGGGGAGUACGACCGCAAGGUUGAAACUCAAAGGAAUUGACGGGGACCCGCACAAGCGGUGGA
rnacentral:rRNA from 1 species